rnacentral:precursor_RNA from 1 species
CCUGACCCCCCCUCCCUGGGAGCGGGCGGGGGUGGCGGCGGGGG